ensembl:lncRNA LINC03048 long intergenic non-protein coding RNA 3048
AGAGGCACUGUCUUCCCCUAGCUAUGCGCCUCGUGCCUGGGAGCCUUAGGGCCACACGGAAGGGUAGAAAUCAGUUUCAGAGAUUCCUGCUCCCAGCCCAGGCCCAGACGGCAACAGAAGCUCAUGGUGAGUUCACCCCGGUCCUGGUCUGGCACCUCAUUGCUGGGGAGGUCUCGGCAGUCCAGAGGAGGUAGCCCCCACCCUGGGCAUCCAUCCGCCCAGGCCCCAGCCUCCGCGGGAAGACCCAAUUACAGAAGAGAGAAGUAUGUGGAGACCCUUGGCUGAGGUUGGGGGUCCUGGAAGCUGGAGAAAGGACUUCUCCGAGCCCAGGACACACGAGGAAAGCGAGGCUCAGUCACCAGGAAGCCCUCACUCUCCGUCAAGGCCACCAAACGGGAAGAAGGGGAGCCAGGAUUUGAUCCCAGGCUUCCCUCCCAGCCUGCACGCUGCUGCACUACCCAACCCUGAGGACCCCAAGAACCUCUGAGAAUGUGGGAUUUUGGUUCUGAGCCUCCACGGGGCCCGUUGGUGGCCUCUGGUUCAGGACAACCAGAAUUGGCCCAGACAGCCAAGCAGCCAAGGGGCAGGCUUUGUAGAGUGUGGGGGUCUGUCCUCCCUCAUGGCCAGAAGCAGAUCCCACCCCUCAAAUGCAGGUGGGGUGGGGCAGGGGCUCCGGCUCCGUCAUCUGGGCUCCAGUGAGGCUGCCCGCUCCUGCUCACCUGCACAGGAGGCUGAGGGUGGGGCCCUGGGGGAGGGGCUGCCCCAGGCUGUAGUGCCUGGGAGAGCUGGGGGUGGGGAGGGGACAGGCAGGGGGCAGGCAGAUGGCCUUCCUGCUUGGCCCUCGCUGCCAGGUCUUGCUGCCUCCUCCUGUUGGGUGAUUUAGAUCAUUAUAGACCUGAGGUCCCACCAGGUGCAUUGGCUCAUGCCUGUAAUCCCAGCACUUUGGGAGGCUAAGGCGGGUGUAUGACCUGAGGUCAGGAGUUCGAGGCCAGCCUGGCCAACGUGGUGAAACCCCAUCUCUACUAAAAAUACAAAAAUUAGCUGGAUGUGGUGCCGCACACCUGUAAUCCCAGCUACUCAGGAGGCUGAGGCAGGAGAAUCGCUUGAACCUGGGAGGCGGAGGUUGCAGUGAGCUGAGAUCACGCCACACCCCACAGCCUGCAGCCUGGGCGACAGAGCGAGUCUGUCUCAAAAAAAAUAAAAAUAAAUAAAUAAAUAAAA